rfam:Nicotiana sylvestris Nsyl_contig67631, whole genome shotgun sequence.
CUCAUGGAGAGUUCGAUCCUGGCUCAGGAUGAAGGCUAGUGGCAUGCUUAGCACAUGCAAGUUGGACGGGAAGUAGUGUUUCCAGUGGCGGACGGGUGAGUAAUGCAUAAGAACCUACCCUUGGGAGGGGAACAAUAACUGGAAACGGCUGCUAAUACUUCGUAGGCUGAGGAGCAAAAGGAGGAAUCCGCCCGAGGAGGGGCUCACGUCUGAUUAGCUAGUUGGUGAGGCAAUAGCUUACCAAGGCGAUGAUCAGUAGCUGGUUUGAAAGGAUGAUCUGCCACACUAGGACUGAGACACGGCCCUGACUCCUAUGGGAGGUAGCAGUGGGGAAUUUUCUGCAAUGGGAGAAAGCCUGACGGAGCAAAGACGCAUGGAGGUAGAAGGCCCACUGAUCGUGAACUUCUUUUCCUGGAGAAGAAGCAAUGACGGUAUCUGGGGAAUAAGCAUCUGCUAACUCUAUGCCAGCAGCCGCAGUAAUACAGAGGAUGCAAGAAUUAUCCGGAAUGAUUGGGCGUAAAGCGUUUGUAGGUGGCUUUUUAAGUCCGCCGUCAAAUCCCAGGGCUCAACCCUGGACAAGCAGUGGAAACUACCAAGCUGGAGUAUGGUAGGGGCAGAGGGAAUUUCUGGUGGAGCGGUGAAAUGCGUAGAGGUCAGAAAGAACACUAACGACGAAAGCACUCUGUUGGGCUGCCACUGACACUGAGAGACAAAAGCUAGGGGAGCGAAUGGGAUUAGAUACCCCAAUAGUCCUAGCCGUAAACGAUAGAUACUAGGGGCUGUGCGUAUCGACCCAUGCAGUGCUGUAGUUAACACGUUAAGUAUCCCGCCUGGGGAGUACGUUCGCAAGAAUGAAACUCAAAGAAAUUGACGGUGGCCCGCACAAGCGGUGGAGCAUGUGGUUUAAUUCGAUGCAAAGCGAAGAACCUUACCAGGGCUUCACAUACCGCGAAUCCUUUUGAAAUAGAGGGGCGACUUCGGGAACGCGGACAUAGGUGGUGCAUGGUUGUCGUCAGCUCGUGCCGUAAGGUGUUGGGUUAAGUCCCACAACAAGCGCAACCCUCGUGUUUAGUUGCCAUCGUUGAAUUUGGAACCCUGAACAGACUGCCGAUGAUAAGCCGGAGGAAGGUAAGGAUGACAUCAAGUCAUCAUGCCCCUUAUGCCCUGGGUGACACACGUGCUACAAUGGCCAGGGACAAAAGGUCGCGAUCCCGCGAGGGUGAGCUAACCCAAAAAACCCGUCCUCAGUUCGGAUUGCAGGCUGCAACUCGCCUGCAUGAAGCGGGAAUCGCUAUUAAUCGUCGGUCAGCCAUACGACGGUGAAUUCGUACCCGAGCCUUGUACACACCACCUAUCACACUAUGGGAGCUGGCCAUGCCUGAAGUUGUUACCUUAACCAUAAGGAAGGGGAUGCCGAAGGUAGGGCUAGUGACUGGAGUGAAUUCGUAACAAGGUAGCCGUACUGGAAGGUGCGGCUGGAUCACCUCCUUU